AGUAAGCGAGGCGGAGGUGCACCAGCGACUCUGCAGUGAAUCUGUGCUGCUGAUUCGUCGAGAAGACGUGAUGCAGCGAUUAACACCUGACUGCUGUCUGACCGACCUCUCCGAGAGUCAGUCGGACCCUCGGUGGAAAGCUCUGGAUGUUGAAGAGUGGGUGCUAUGCCCUCUGCUGCUUCUUGUUCUAGUCCACAAUCAGCUCUUUGGUCUUGCUGACAUUCAGGAGGAGGCUGAGGUGAUCUCCAUGAC
ensembl:lncRNA